rnacentral:rRNA from 1 species
UUGAACGCUGGCGGCAGGCCUAACACAUGCAAGUCGAGCGGUAACACAGAGAGCUUGCUCUCGGGUGACGAGCGGCGGACGGGUGAGUAAUGUCUGGGAAACUGCCUGAUGGAGGGGGAUAACUACUGGAAACGGUAGCUAAUACCGCAUAACGUCGCAAGACCAAAGUGGGGGACCUUCGGGCCUCAUGCCAUCAGAUGUGCCCAGAUGGGAUUAGCUAGUAGGUGGGGUAACGGCUCACCUAGGCGACGAUCCCUAGCUGGUCUGAGAGGAUGACCAGCCACACUGGAACUGAGACACGGUCCAGACUCCUACGGGAGGCAGCAGUGGGGAAUAUUGCACAAUGGGCGCAAGCCUGAUGCAGCCAUGCCGCGUGUGUGAAGAAGGCCUUCGGGUUGUAAAGCACUUUCAGCGGGGAGGAAGGCGGUGAGGUUAAUAACCUCAUCGAUUGACGUUACCCGCAGAAGAAGCACCGGCUAACUCCGUGCCAGCAGCCGCGGUAAUACGGAGGGUGCAAGCGUUAAUCGGAAUUACUGGGCGUAAAGCGCACGCAGGCGGUCUGUCAAGUCGGAUGUGAAAUCCCCGGGCUCAACCUGGGAACUGCAUUCGAAACUGGCAGGCUAGAGUCUUGUAGAGGGGGGUAGAAUUCCAGGUGUAGCGGUGAAAUGCGUAGAGAUCUGGAGGAAUGCCGGUGGCGAAGGCGGCCCCCUGGACAAAGACUGACGCUCAGGUGCGAAAGCGUGGGGAGCAAACAGGAUUAGAUACCCUGGUAGUCCACGCCGUAAACGAUGUCGAUUUGGAGGUUGUGCCCUUGAGGCGUGGCUUCCGGAGCUAACGCGUUAAAUCGACCGCCUGGGGAGUACGGCCGCAAGGUUAAAACUCAAAUGAAUUGACGGGGGCCCGCACAAGCGGUGGAGCAUGUGGUUUAAUUCGAUGCAACGCGAAGAACCUUACCUGGUCUUGACAUCCACAGAACUUUCCAGAGAUGGAUUGGUGCCUUCGGGAACUGUGAGACAGGUGCUGCAUGGCUGUCGUCAGCUCGUGUUGUGAAAUGUUGGGUUAAGUCCCGCAACGAGCGCAACCCUUAUCCUUUGUUGCCAGCGGUUCGGCCGGGAACUCAAAGGAGACUGCCAGUGAUAAACUGGAGGAAGGUGGGGAUGACGUCAAGUCAUCAUGGCCCUUACGACCAGGGCUACACACGUGCUACAAUGGCAUAUACAAAGAGAAGCGACCUCGCGAGAGCAAGCGGACCUCAUAAAGUAUGUCGUAGUCCGGAUUGGAGUCUGCAACUCGACUCCAUGAAGUCGGAAUCGCUAGUAAUCGUAGAUCAGAAUGCUACGGUGAAUACGUUCCCGGGCCUUGUACACACCGCCCGUCACACCAUGGGAGUGGGUUGCAAAAGAAGUAGGUAGCUUAACCUUCGGGAGGGCGCUUACCACUUUGUGAUUCAUGACUGGGGUG